CCUACGGGGCGCAGCAGUAGGGAAUCUUCCACAAUGGGCGCAAGCCUGAUGGAGCAACACCGCGUGAGUGAAGAAGGGUUUCGGCUCGUAAAGCUCUGUUGUUGGAGAAGAACGUGCGUGAGAGUAACUGUUCACGCAGUGACGGUAUCCAACCAGAAAGUCACGGCUAACUACGUGCCAGCAGCCGCGGUAAUACGUAGGUGGCAAGCGUUAUCCGGAUUUAUUGGGCGUAAAGCGAGCGCAGGCGGUUGCUUAGGUCUGAUGUGAAAGCCUUCGGCUUAACCGAAGAAGUGCAUCGGAAACCGGGCAACUUGAGUGCAGAAGAGGACAGUGGAACUCCAUGUGUAGCGGUGGAAUGCGUAGAUAUAUGGAAGAACACCAGUGGCGAAGGCGGCUGUCUGGUCUGCAACUGACGCUGAGGCUCGAAAGCAUGGGUAGCGAACAGGAUUAGAUACCCGGGUAGUC
rnacentral:rRNA from 1 species